GCCGGGCGCGGUGGCGCGCGCCUGUAGUCCCAGCUACUCGGGAGGCUGAGGUGGGAGGAUCGCUUGAGUCCAGGAGUUCUGGGCUGCAGUGCGUUAUGCCGAUCGGGUGUCCGCACUAAGUUCGGCAUCAAUAUGGUGACCUCCCGGGAGCGGGGGACCACCAGGUUGCCUAAGGAGGGGUGAACCGGCCCAGGUCGGAAACGGAGCAGGUCAAUCUCCGGUUCCACAAAACAAAACAAAAUAGAUUUUGGGCCCCAAGAGAUGGCUCAGUAGAAUAAGCGCCUGCCUG
rnacentral:SRP_RNA from 1 species